rnacentral:sRNA from 1 species
GGCUAGACAGACAGACAGAGAGACAGACAGACAGACAGACCAGCAUGGCACUUCUCAUGAUAGAAAGUGGGUAUGUUGACAUCCAAGGACCUCAGCACGCCACUGCAAUUAAACAUUGGUCUACUAACCGA